UUGCUGGCGACCGGCGUACGGGUGCGUAACAUGUAUGCAAUCUACCUUGUACUGGAGGAUAGCUCCUGGAAACGGGAAUUAAUACUCCAUACUAUCUAAUUAGCGCAUGCUGGUUAGAUGAAAGCUCCGGCGGUACAAGAGGAGCAUGCACCCCAUUAGCUAGUUGGCGAGGUAACGGCUCACCAAGGCGACGAUGGGUAGGGGUUCUUAGCGGAAGAUCCCCCACACUGGCACUGAAAUACGGGCCAGACUUCUACGGGAGGCAGCAGUAGGGAAUAUUGGUCAAUGGGCGCAAGCCUGAACCAGCCAUGCCGCGUGCAGGACGAAGGCCCUCAGGGUUGUAAACUGCUUUUAUAUGGGAAUAAAAAGCCCUUGCGAGGGCCAUUGAAGGUACCAUAAGAAUAAGCACCGGCUAACUCCGUGCCAGCAGCCGCGGUAAUAC
rnacentral:rRNA from 1 species